rnacentral:rRNA from 1 species
AUGGCCCGUUCAUACAUUCCGGCCAUGCUGAUGGCCACCAGCUUGCUGCUCAUGGCUGCUUCAUCUCCUGCCCCGAGCAACAACACCGACCUUGCCGCGCUGCUGGCUUUCAAAUCCCAGCUCUCCGACCCUUUGGCUAUCAUUGCCAAUAACUGGACAACCGGUGCGUCCUUCUGCACCUGGAUCGGUGUGUUGUGCAGCCGGCGUCAGCACCAGCGUGUCACCGCUUUGGAGCUGCCGGACAUUCCCCUCCAAGAAGAGCUCAGCCCUCACCUCGGUAACCUCUCUUUCCUCCACACCCUUAACCUGACCAAUACGAACCUCACCGGUUCUAUCCCAGCUGAUCUUGGAAGAUUAGCCCGUCUUAGGUACCUUGAUCUUGGCCACAAUAGCCUGUCGGAUACAAUCCCGUCUACCGUUGGAAACCUCACCAGGCUUCAGUUUCUGGUCCUAAAUUUCAACCAGCUCUUGGGGCAGAUCCCCGGUGAGGUGCGAAACAUGCGUAGCCUUAGCUACUUCUCUCUCGGAAUAAAUUCCAUUACUGGCCUCAUGCCGAAUUUUUCAUUUGACAGCACGCCUUCACUGAGACACAUAUACAUUAACAACAACAGUCUAUCCGGCCCAAUACCUUCUGGUAUUGGCUCCUUGCUCAUGCUCCAGGUUCUUUACUUGAGGCGUAACCAGCUCUCCGGUCCAAUACCUCCUACCAUCUUCAACAUGUCUAGGAUUGUUGACUUGCGUCUGGGGAACAACAAUCUAACAGGUCAUAUACCUAGCAACAGAAGCUUUAGUCUCCCCAUGUUGCAAAUAUUUGAUCUCUACCGGAACAACUUCGGGGGUCAAAUUCCAUUGGGCCUUGCAUCAUGCCAGCAUCUUAGGAUACUUACCAUUCCUGGAAAUCUAUUCGUGGAUGUGGUGCCAACAUGGCUGGCUACGCUACCAGAGCUUACGGCGAUUUCUAUGGGAGGCAAUGACCUCGUUGGCCUGAUCCCGCCUGUGCUCGGCAAUCUCACCAUGCUCAGCGUACUUGACAUCGCAAACUCCAACUUAAGCGGAGAUAUUCCCGUGGAAUUAGGAGAACUGAGACAACUCAAUUAUCUGCACCUUUCGCACAAUCAACUAACAGGCCCCUUCCCGGAAUUUCUAGGAAAUUCGACAAAAAUCCUUUGCAAUUGUCGCCAACUUCAAUACCUCACCAUAUCAAAUAAUCUUUUCACUGGGAGUAUUCCCAACUAUUUUGGUAACCUCUCGACUAACCUGGUAGUAUUUGAAGCAUUGAAUAACAAUUUGGUUGGUGGGCUUCCAGAAACACUGUCAAAUCUUAGUAGUCUUCGUAAGAUAAACUUUGCCAACAACCAUCUUACCAAAGAAAUACCAGAAACCCUCUCUAAGUUGGAGAAUCUCCAAGCACUUGAUCUCUCAGGAAAUAGAAUGGUUGGCCCAAUCCCUGUACAAAUUGGUAUGCUGAGAAGUAUUGUAGAGUUACAACUCUGGGACAAUAUGUUAUCUGGCUCCAUACCAGAUGCCAUGGGCGACCUCACCAUGUUAGAGUACACUUCAUUUUCUUAUAACCGUUUAUCUUCGUCAAUUCCAUCAAGCUUAUUUUAUCGUAGUAACCUUAUCCAACUAGAUCUGUCCCAUAAUUCCCUAACCGGUACAUUACCUUCUGAUCUUAGCCAUAUGCAAACUAUGGACUGGAUAGAUCUUUCUGGUAACCUCUUGUCUGGUAGCCUUCCAAGUUCAUUUGGACAGGUUGCCAUGUUAUUAACCUACCUAAAUCUUUCGCACAACUCAUUUAAGGGUUUAGUCCCAAACUCUUUCGGCCGCUUAACCAACUUAGAAACAUUGGACCUAUCGUCAAACAACCUUUCAGGUACAAUACCAGACUACCUCGCCAACUUCACCUACCUUUCUUCUCUGAACCUCUCCUUCAAUGGGUUAGAAGGGCAAAUACCAAAUGGAGGUGUUUUCUCAAACCUCACCUUGCAAUCUUUGAUGGGGAAUGUUGGGCUAUGUGGUGCUCCUCGUCUAGGACUGUCACCGUGUCCGCACAAGUCUCACUUGACUUAUAGUCGACACACCCUCAAGUUUAUACUCCCGGUUGCCAUCAUUGGAGUUGGUGCAUUUGCAACCACCAUGUACCUAAUGGUCAGCAAGAAAAAUAAGAAACAAUAUUAUGGUACGGCUUCUACUAGCAUGACUGAUCUGAUCAGCCAUAGCUUGGAUUUCAAGGCACUGCUCCUUCAGUACAUGCCCAAUGGUAGCAUGGAGACACACUUGCACAACGAAAUAAGGGAACCACUAAGAUUCAUCCAGAGAUUGGACAUUAUGCUUGCCGUGUCAGAGGCAAUGGAGUACCUGCACCAUCAUCAUUUCCAAGUUGUCUUGCACUGCGAUCUGAAGCCUAGCAACGUGUUGUUCGAUGACGACAUGACGGCGCAUGUUGCCGACUUUGGCAUUGCAAAGUUACUUCUACAUGAUGACAACUCCAUGGUUUCAGCAAGUAUGCCGGGGACAAUUGGGUACAUGGCCCCUGAGCUAGCAUUCAUGGGAAAGGCAUCACGAAAGACUGACAUGUUCAGCUUCGGGAUCAUGUUGCUUGAAGUCUUCACAGGGAAGAGGCCCACGGACGCUAUGUUCGUCGGGGAAUCUAGCCUCAGGUGGUGGGUUUCGCAAGCAUUUCCAGCAAAGCUCGUUGAUGUUUUGGAUGAGAAGCUACAACAGGGUGAAGAAAUGAACCUUGCCUUCCAUCACCAAACAAUUAAUACUUCGUCGCCGUCAUCCUCCAUUGCCUGCAAUGGAAACUUUCUUGUGUCGAUAUUCGAACUGGGUCUAGAGUGUUCGGACGACUCUCCUAGUCGGAGAGCAAGCAUGAGCGACGUGGUCGUGAGGCUCAAAAACAUUAAGAAGGAUUACUUUGCUUUCAUGGUGGCAACUCAAAGCGCGCAACAAAGUUCAUGA